rnacentral:tRNA from 1 species
UCCUUGGUAGCUCAGAUGGUAAAGAAUCUGCCUGCAAGGCAGGAGACCUGGGUUCAAUUCCUGGGUUGGGAA